rnacentral:rRNA from 1 species
CCUGACGACCAUAGCAAGGUGGUCCCACUCCUUCCCAUCUCGAACAGGACAGUGAAACGCCUUUGCGCCGAUGAUAGUGCGGGUUCCCGUGUGAAAGUAGGUCAUCGUCAGGC